rnacentral:lncRNA from 1 species
AGGUGGAUUAACAAAACAAGUGUUAAGAAGAAGAUAACAUGGUUUCUUCUGCUAAAGGAAGCAACCUCACAAGCUUAACCCCGGAAAGGAGAAGAGAGUUGGAAGAAAGAGUCUAACAGUUGUCAUCAGCUCCUCCAUUUUAGCAACCAAUCAGGGGAUUAUAUCAUAUCAUACUUUGUCUUAAGUAGCCCUAGUUUUCCAAGAGUUAGAUCAGAACUAGGAAA